UUCUUUGGACAGUAGUGUCUGCAGUUCUAUGGAACCUCAGCAGCAGGAAGAAGAAGAAGAGCAGGACGACACGGCAUGGGAAACGAUAAGAAGAAAACAACCAAUUUCUACUCACAAUAGAUUUGUUCCUGCAGUAAAGACCAAACCUGCUGUAGUGAAAAGCAACGGCAAAGCAUCUACCCGGCAACCAACUAUUGUCCCUGUAGCAGCCUAUCAUCACACCAGAGAGUACCCACCAAUAAUGCUUGGAAAAUCUCAACCGCGGAGAUCUUCAGUACAACACCAAUCCUACAAAUCAACAAAACAACCAACAAUCAAGACUGGAAGCAAUAGUAAUGCUGCCA